AUGCAUGACUCCAUUUUCUCCGAGCAGGUGCGACUUCCCUCCGCUCCCCGCGCGCUACAUAAUCUCUCACCUCGUGCAUCGCUGACACUUGAGCACCUCAACACUUACGUGUUACCUAGCAAGCUAGCUAGAUCAUCCAUGGCGGACAUACGGUGCGACCAGCCCAAGAUGACGCCAGCAAGCCCGUCGUCCCUAAGGAUCUUCGGCUACGACGUGCCCGGCGGCGCCACCGACGCCGCUGCCGCCGUGCUGACUCCGCCGCCGACGCCGCCGGCCGACGCGCGGAGGUUCGGGUGCCAGUACUGCUCUCGCGAGUUCGCCAACUCGCAGGCGCUGGGCGGGCAUCAGAACGCGCACAAGAAGGAGCGGCAGCAGCUGAAGCGCGCGCGCCUGCACGUGGACGCCAGGAUGAGCUACUUCGCGCCGCCGCCGGGGCACCUGAUCGCCGUGGGACACGCAGGGUCGUCGGCCUACACGCGGGACGCCUUCCACAGAUGGGUCUACUUCGCGCACCAGUCAGCGGCGGGCCUGCCGUUCCAUGCUCUGCCGGCCGGUGGUGGGUGCCACGCCCAGCCGCGGCUGCUCCAGGAACCAAAGGAGGACUGCGGCAGUGCCGCCAUCAGCACCAGCAGUGGUGCUCGUGCCUGCACUCCAGCGGAUGACAGCACCGAGGAAGCCUCGGCGAUGGGGGUGGGGCUCGACCUCGAUCUCAGACUUGCUCCGGCCACGUCAUCGUGA
rnacentral:rRNA from 1 species